AAUAGAUACCCAGGUAGUCCAUGCCGUAAACGAUGUCUACUAGCCGUUGGGGCCCUUGAGGCUUUAGUGGCGCAGCUAACGCGAUAAGUAGACCGCCUGGGGAGUACGGUCGCNAAGACUAAAACUCAAAUGAAUUGACGGGGGCCCGCACAAGCGGUGGAGCAUGUGGUUUAAUUCGAUGCAACGCGAAGAACCUUACCUGGCCUUGACAUACAGAGAACUUUCCAGAGAUGGAUUGGUGCCUUCGGGAACUCUGAUACAGGUGCUGCAUGGCUGUCGUCAGCUCGUGUCGUGAGAUGUUGGGUUAAGUCCCGCAACGAGCGCAACCCUUUUCCUUAUUUGCCAGCACUUCGGGUGGGAACUUUAAGGAUACUGCCAGUGACAAACUGGAGGAAGGCGGGGACGACGUCAAGUCAUCAUGGCCCUUACGGCCAGGGCUACACACGUGCUACAAUGGUCGGUACAAAGGGUUGCUACUGCGCGAGCAGAUGCUAAUCUCAAAAAGCCGAUCGUAGUCCGGAUCGC
rnacentral:rRNA from 1 species